rnacentral:tRNA from 1 species
UCCUUGCUGGCUCAGACGGUAAAGUGUCUGCCUACAAUGCUGGAGACCUGGGUUCGAUCCCUGGGUCGGGAA